GAUGAACGCUGGCGGCGUGCUUAACACAUGCAAGUCGAACGGAAAGGCCCUGAUCUUGUGGGGUGCUCGUGAGGCGAAGGGGUGAGAAACACGUGAGUAACCUCCCCUUGUCUUUGGGAUAACUUCAGGAAACUGGGGCUAAAACCGGAUAGGAGCUCCUGCUCCAUGGGGGGGGUUGGAAAGUUUCGGCGGUUGGGGAUGGACUCGCGGCUUAUCAGCUUGUUGGUGGGGUUGUGGCUUACCAAGGUUUUGACGGGUAGCCGGCCUGAGAGGGUGACCGGCCACAUUGGGACUGAGAGACGGCCCAGACUCCUACGGGAGGCAGCAGGGGGGAAUAAUGCACAAUGGGCGGAAGCCUGAUGCAGCAACGCCGCGUGCGGGAUGACGGCCUUCGGGUUGUAAACCGCUUUCGCCUGUGACGAAGCGUGAGUGACGGUAAUGGGUAAAGAAGCACCGGCUAACUACGUG
rnacentral:rRNA from 1 species